UGCAUCAUUCUUUUGAAGUGUCAUUUAUUGUUGACAGAAAAAAAUCCUGUAAUAGUGGUUGGUACAGCCUCUGGAAGAUAGGGGCUCUGUUAAUGAACGUGAAUUUUCCUGUUGAACAUCUUAUCAAAUAGUGAAAAGGGGCAUAGCAAAACUGAAACAAGAUAAAUAAGAUUCCUUAUGCUUUGGAAUUGAGGUUUGCCAUGAAAUCUGCCACAUGCCUUCUGGUUUAGUGGGUGUGAGAUCAAGGAACUUCACACUAGGCUCUUCCUGUAGUUAGUCUGAACAUGACAAAGCUUUCUGCUAGCACUGCUUCUGAGGCUUUCUCUGUGCUUCAGACUCCAUAGCAAAAGAUCAAUCACACUGCUUGCUUUAAAACUCACUUUCUUUUGUAGUGGUGCUCAUGUUUGAAGCUGUAAUUUGUGUGGUCUUACUUGUUGCUGUGUUGUGUGUCCCAUUUUGCUGUGGAGUCUGCCUGUCAUACCUUGCUAUCCAUGUUUGCUUGUGGAAUAACGGGAAGCUGUGCCUUCCCUGCACGUGUUACAUGGAGCUCCUCAAUAUAAGACAGAUGGGCAUCUUCCCUGUCCCAAGAAUUAAAGCUUGCCUUCCAAACCUGGCUUUUCAGUGUGAACUACAGGGAAGGAAUUGAUCUUACAGAUAUGAGGAUUUGUUUGGUUACCAUCUGUCUCUCUCUAAAUUGAUCCAGCGACUGGUGGUCCUCUGAGAGGGAGCAGUACACAUAUACUGUAUUGAUUGCUUCUGUUUGUUCCUGCAGAAGUUUAGUCCCUGAAAAUGUGUUUGAGGGGGAGGAAACUUUGGGGGUAAAGCAUCAAAAACCCAAGAGCAA